CACAUAACCAUUGAUCCGUAGAUAUCCGAAUGGGGCAACCCACCUAGUUGAAGACUAGGUACUCGAAAGAGAGCUAACCCGGAGAACUGAAACAUCUAAGUACCCGGAGGAAGAGAAAACAAUAGUGAUUCCCCUAGUAGUGGCGAGCGAACGGGGAACAGCCCAAACCGAAUUUGUUUCGGCAAGUUCGGGGUUGUAGGACCACGAUAUUUGAUGCACAAUUAAGUAGAACCAUCUGGAAAGUUGGACGAGAUAGGGUGAUAGUCCCGUAUACGAAGCGUUGUGUUAUUGAUAGUGGUAUCCUGAGUAGGGCGGGACACGUGAAAUCCUGUCUGAAACUGCCAGAACCAUCUGGUAAGGCUAAAUACUCCUAAAAGACCGAUAGUGAACAAGUACCGUGAGGGAAAGGUGAAAAGCACCCUGAAUAAGGGAGUGAAAAAGUACCUGAAACCGUACGCUUACAAGCGGUCGGAGCAUCAUAAGGUGUGACGGCGUGCCUUUUGCAUAAUGAUCCUACGAGUUGCUCCUCACUAGCGAGGUUAAGAAUUUAAGGUUCGAAGCCGAAGCGAAAGCGAGUCUGAAUAGGGCGUGCAGUUAGUGGGGGCAGACGCGAAACCAAGUGAUCUACCCAUGGUCAGGUUGAAGCUCUGGUAACACAGAGUGGAGGACCGAACCCGUUGACGUUGAAAAGUCUUGGGAUGAACUGUGGGUAGGGGUGAAAGGCUAAUCAAACUUGGAAAUAGCUCGUACUCCCCGAAAUGCAUUUAGGUGCAGCCUCGGAUAUGAGUGUUAUAGAGGUAGAGCUACUGGUUGGAUGCGGGGGU
rnacentral:rRNA from 10 species